rnacentral:rRNA from 1 species
GACGAACGCUGGCGGCGUGCUUAACACAUGCAAGUCGAACGGAAAGGCCCUGCUUGCAGGGUACUCGAGUGGCGAACGGGUGAGUAACACGUGGGUGAUCUGCCCUGCACUUCGGGAUAAGCCUGGGAAACGGGGUCUAAUACCGGAUAGGAGCCAUUUUUAGUGUGAUGGUUGGAAAGUUUUUUCGGUGUAGGAUGAGCUCGCGGCCUAGCAGCUUGUUGGUGGGGUAAUGGCCUACCAAGGCGGCGACGGGUAGCCGGCCUGAGAGGGUGGACGGCCACCUUGGGACUGAGAUACGGCCCCGACUCCUACGGGAGGCAGAAGUGGGGAAUAUUGCACAAUGGGCGCCAGCCUGAUGCAGCGACGCCGCGUGGGGGAUGACGGCCUUAGGGUUGUAAACUCCUUUCGCUAGGGACGAAGCUUUUUGUGACGGUACCUAGAUAAGAAGCACCGGCUAACUACGUG